UAUGCUCCAGCUAAUUAAUCACUGCCAAACAUUCCGUUUAUUUUAUUUUGUUAAAGUAGAAAGUUGGCCACGAUUCACCAUUGAAGGGUUGCCAGUGGACCUCGCUUUCAUUGCCAAUCACUUCCCAAAGAAUCAACUCCUUUUUCUUCAGUAUUAAUCUUCGUUGCUUUUUUUUUUAAUAUGCUAAUUGCAUGAAAAGCUCAUAUGCCAAAAAUAUAGAAAUGGGUAUAAAACCUGCACAGAAAGGGAAGCUCACAAAGAAUUUCACCCAACAAAACACACAACCCAAGCCCACAACAUCAACCCAGCCCCAAAUCUAGAACCCUAGGUGAAAUAGGAUGAGCUAGGAACAAGGAGAAGUGCUGAUUGAUUACCACCCCCUACAGUUACAGAGCAGACCGAAGCCGAACACCAUUUAGCAAUGCAAAGGGUACAAAUUGCCCAUCCACUCACCGCACUUCAAUGGAGAAAACAUAUGCUUCCCAAAUUCUGCAAAUAGGACAUGCAAACCACUAUACAUGGAAGAGAGGUGCUGCUGCAAAGUUCUGGCACACCAUGUUUACGGGAUGGCCUUUCUAGCCGUGUUGUAAAAACGAAUCCCGGAGAUGCUGAUGGCAAAAGCAAAGGAACCUCCUCACAUGAAUAACAACCCACAAAGGACAAAGAAGAAGAUAGAGACCCAACAAAUAGGAAACAAAGCUUCCUCCAAGGAACCAUUCACCAAAUCCUUUUCAUCCAACACUAACACAAUAGCUCAUACACUACAGGUUUCAAAACAAGCCCUCACAUUAAAAUUAUACUCGCAUUCAGAGAGGAGAAAGACUAACGCAUAAAACCAUAUACAACCAAACCUAAUGACAGGAGUACAACCAAACCUAAUGACAGGAGGACGAUCUACUACACCUGGACAGGGAACCAACUAAA
rnacentral:misc_RNA from 1 species